ensembl:lncRNA
GUUUGUCUUUUCUUUCUCUCGCCCUGCUAGGACAGGCAGCCUGGGCAUGCUAGAUGUAGGCCGGGGCUGGACCUCAGAGUGUGUGACUUUGGGCAAAUGGCACUCUGACCCUCUCUAGGCUUCUGUCUCUGCUCCUGACAAUGGAGACAGUACACUGAUGCCAGCAACGAUGCCAUCAGCACCCGCAGGCAAAGCCGAGGGGGACCUGAGCUCCUUCUAUUUGCUUGGAACUGGAUUCGAAGCUUCUUUUCAUCCUCGUUUUUCUGUGCAGUAGGUGCCAGAGAAGUGAAGGAUUACGACUGCCCCUGCUUCUCUAAUCUCAGGGAAAGGAGAAAAGAAGGAAUCCAUCAGUAAGAAAAGGCCACGUGUUUGGGAAGACCUCAUCUUACCCCGCAAAACCCCAAAUCCAUGGGAUUUUCAGACAGAAGAAUCACAUGGACAAAAGGCCACUGUGAAAUCAUCCCCCACCUCAAGUCCUAGGUAAUAAAAUACUCUGGAAAAUUGAGGCACGCUUACUUAAAAAUCCUGCUUUCCCUCUAGUUCACAGGCUGAAGGGAGCAGGAUCUAAGCUGUCCACUUUUAAUUUUGAGGACAUUGAGUGUGCAAUGUGGGAGUCAAUCACUUUUUCCAGGUUUGACAGAAGAGAAGUCAGAGCUUCCAAUGCUCAUAUGUCAGUGUACACACUUGUAAACAAUGGCAACAGAUUCCCGGCCAAGCUAUCUUCCUGUGAUGCUUUUCCUUGGAGAAAAACCCAGUCCAUUUCCAGUUCUGCUAUGGUGAAACUGACUCCUCGGGUGCAUUAUGUAAUUGUCACAGUCAACUGAACAGUUCUCACAGCAAGAUUGUCUGUGCUGCUUAGCUGGCCACUGAGAGAGCUCGGGCCCCCAGACAGUUAAACCACGCUGGGGCCACCUGGUACUUGAAGCACCUCAAGGGCCUUCAUAAAACUGCUGGGUGACCACAAACUAACCACCAGUUCCUCCGACGCCCAGCCCAGCAGCCUGCAGGCGAAUCGCGGGAGCAAAGGGUGAUGCAGCAAUUCGCGGCUCUGGGCACCUUGCCCGCGGUGCAUGGCCUGGUUAUCUGUCAACUUCCCUCAGAGACGAGCCUGGAAAGUCCCACCUGGCGAGGACUCUGCUCCUGUCCAACGCCCC